AACCUUCUGAAUCCAUGCCGAUAUUUUGUUAGACACUAGACCAUAUGUACUGAUGAAACUCCUAAGAUAAAUGAAGAG
rnacentral:pre_miRNA from 1 species